rnacentral:rRNA from 1 species
GGUAUCAGCGUGAGGUCAUUUGGGUCCACCUCCCACCCGUGUUUAUUUUACCUUGUUGCUUCGGCGGGCCCGCCUUUACUGGCCGCCGGGGGGCUCACGCCCCCGGGCCCGCGCCCGCCGAAGACACCCCCGAACUCUGUCUGAAGAUUGAAGUCUGAGUGAAAAUAUAAAUUAUUUAAAACUUUCAACAACGGAUCUCUUGGUUCCGGCAUCGAUGAAGAACGCAGCGAAAUGCGAUACGUAAUGUGAAUUGCAAAUUCAGUGAAUCAUCGAGUCUUUGAACGCACAUUGCGCCCCCUGGUAUUCCGGGGGGCAUGCCUGUCCGAGCGUCAUUGCUGCCCUCAAGCCCGGCUUGUGUGUUGGGCCCCGUCCUCCGAUUCCGGGGGACGGGCCCGAAAGGCAGCGGCGGCACCGCGUCCGGUCCUCGAGCGUAUGGGGCUUUGUCACCCGCUCUGUAGGCCCGGCCGGCGCUUGCCGAUCAACCCAAAUUUUUAUCCAGGUUGACCUCGGAUCAGGUAGGGAUACCCGCUGAACUUAAGCAUAUCAAAA